rnacentral:sRNA from 1 species
UCAAUGGAGUCCUCAUUACGAGUGAUGUG